CAGGGACAUCUGCAGGGGACCCAGCUCAGCAGGCCUCCCGGAGGACUUCUGAUGGGCCAGUCCACCUUACGAUCAGGCUGCAGCCAUCCCAGGGCAGUGCCAGCCACAACCAUCUCCCUCCCGGCAGCUGUGUUCAGGCCUAGCUGAUUGGGAGGGCCCAUUGGCAGCACAGGGCUGCCGGGGGGCGUGGCUGUAGAGCCUAAAAGGCCCCGCCCUGCAGGCCUGCUCCAGCUCUCUCUGUUGCCUGGGGCAGGCUCUCAGGAGCAGCUCCGAGAGUGUGGAGGGAAGAGAAACGAGUUAAGGAAGGAGACAGGGCUCAGGUCAUGAAAGGGAAGUCUCCAGAACAGGGAGAGAGUCCACAGUGGUGUGUCACAAGCACCAAUCCUUGGACCAUUGGGGAAACGGCUUUGCCUGUGAGGAAUAUGUAAGUGAGAAACAACGUUCAGAACCUUCCCUGCUCACCUGAAUGCAUUCAGUGACCGCUCGUUCAGUUCGUCACCCAUCGUUCUUUCAUCUCACAAUCCUCAUUGGGCAGUCCCCCGGCCAGGUGGUGUGCUUGUCACGGUGGACUCAGGACAUGCAGGUCUCUGAAGGUGCUGCAACAUGAAUCCAGGAGAAAACAAAAGAAACAGCCCGGGCCUAAGCAUGUGGACUCAUCCGACCGCAGAGAUGCCAGCAGUUCUGUCAGCUUCCUGAACCCGUGGAUGGUGUCGCUGUUUGUGUUCUGCUUUUUCCAAAUCAUUGGAAAACGCCUGGUCGAGUUCUGAAAGAAAACCAUGUCAGCUCCUCUCCAUUUGCACAAAACUGGAUAUCCUGGAAAUUAUAAUGCAUAUUAAAACUGUGGCAGAUACCUUGUUUUUCU
rnacentral:lncRNA from 1 species